CAGUAGCCGCGGGAAUACGAAGGGGGCUAGCGUUGCUCGGAAUUACUGGGCGUAAAGCGUGCGCAGGCGGCUAUGCAAGACAGAUGUGAAAUCCCCGGGCUCAACCUGGGAACUGCAUUUGUGACUGCAUGGCUAGAGUACGGUAGAGGGGGAUGGAAUUCCGCGUGUAGCAGUGAAAUGCGUAGAUAUGCGGAGGUACACCGAUGGCGAAGGCAAUCCCCUGGACCUGUACUGACGCUCAUGCACGAAAGCGUGGGGAGCAAACAGGAUUAGAUACCCCUGUAGUCCCUGUCUCUUAUAC
rnacentral:rRNA from 1 species